rnacentral:tRNA from 1 species
ACCUGGCUGGCUCAGUCAAUAAAGCAUGUGACUCUUGAUCUCAGGGUUGUGAGUUUAAGCCCCACACCGGGUG